rnacentral:rRNA from 1 species
GACGAACGCUGGCGGCGUGCUUAACACAUGCAAGUCAACGAUGCUUGCGUAGCAAUAUGCAAGCAGAGUGGCGCACGGGUGAGUAUCGCGUAUGCAAUCUGCCUUUGGCUCUGGAAUAACAUCUCCAACGAGGUGCUAAUACCGGACGACGCAGCGGCACCGCAUGGUGACAGUUGUUAAAGCUUCGGCGGCCAAAGAUGAGCAUGCGUCCCAUUAGGUAGUUGGCGGGGUAACGGCCCACCAAGCCAAUGAUGGGUAGCUGGUCUGAGAGGAUGAUCAGCCACACUGGGACUGAGACACGGCCCAGACUCCUACGGGAGGCAGCAGUGAGGAAUAUUGCGCAAUGGACGAAAGUCUGACGCAGCAACGCCGCGUGCGGGAUUGAAGGCCUUUUAGGUCGCAAACCGCUGUAGCAGGGAAAAAUAUACCCGUUUGACGGGAUUGAUGGUACCCUGAAGUAAG